GCAUUUUAACACUGUGGGUGUUAAAUUAGACCACACCUUCAUUUCCUGUGGAGCUUCGCAUUUCAGAAUCUUCGGUCGUCAUUUUUUCUUGCUGCUGCGGUGGUGAUAUGCUGGUUCCUGACAAGAGAUGAAGAAAUCAAAGUCAGCUUUUCAAGACAGCCCCAAGACUCCUCGCAACCUGUGUUCAAAUGUGAGGCUGUUGUCAGGUGAUGAAUGCAAGGAAGAGGCACUCAACUGACAUGAAACAUGUCAAAGACAACAUGAAGGUGACAUUUCAACAUAGGCAAAAAGUGGUUCAAGAACCUGCCACAGCUUCUACUGUCCUGGACCUUUUCCCAAGAUUUCUGUACACCUGGCUUGGUUGACCAAGACUUCACAAUGCUGUUUGUUGGGGAGGAAGUGUCUGCUAAGUUCCUUGCAAAGUGGCCAACCAAGCCAAGGAUCAUCAAAGAUUGCAAAAAUCUGUCUCAGAGUACAGAAUUGGAUGAGCUGCUCAUUUCUGCACAGCGUUACUCUGACGAGGGUGGUAAGUGUAAGUUGGAAAUGGUAGAUUUUGCAUGCCUUUACAGCAUUUGCUUAAUUCCCACAACACAAUAUAUCA